rnacentral:rRNA from 1 species
CAGCCGCCGCGGUAAUACCAGCCCCGCGAGUGGUCGGGACGGUUAUUGGGCCUAAAGCGCCCGUAGCCGGCCCGGCAAGUCCCUCCUUAAAGCCUCGGGCCCAACCCGAGGACGGGGGGGAUACUGCCGGGCUAGGGGGCGGGAGAGGCCGGCGGUACUCCCGGGGUAGGGGCGAAAUCCGUUAAUCCCGGGAGGACCACCAGUGGCGAAGGCGGCCGGCUGGAACGCGCCCGACGGUGAGGGGCGAAAGCCGGGGGAGCGAACCGGAUUAGAUACCCGGGUAGUCCCGGCUGUAAACGAUGCGGGCUAGCUGUGGGGCGGGCUUAGAGCCCGCCCAGUGGCGCAGGGAAGCCGUUAAGUCCGCCGCCUGGGGAGUACGGCCGCAAGGCUGAAACUUAAAGGAAUUGGCGGG